AACGAACGCUGGCGGCAGGCCUAACACAUGCAAGUCGAACGCUCCGCAAGGAGAGUGGCAGACGGGUGAGUAACACGUGGGAAUCUUCCUAUCGGUACGGAAUAGCUCAGGGAAACUUGAGGUAAUACCGCAUACGCCCUUCGGGGGAAAGAUUUAUCGCCGAUAGAUGAGCCCGCGUCUGAUUAGCUAGUUGGUGAGGUAAUGGCUCACCAAGGCGACGAUCAGUAGCUGGUCUGAGAGGAUGACCAGCCACACUGGGACUGAGACACGGCCCAGACUCCUACGGGAGGCAGCAGUGGGGAAUAUUGGACAAUGGGCGCAAGCCUGAUCCAGCCAUGCCGCGUGAGUGACGAAGGUCUUCGGAUUGUAAAGCUCUUUUACCAGGGACGAUAAUGACGGUACCUGGAGAAUAAGCCCCGGCUAACUUCGUGCCAGCCGCCGCCGUAA
rnacentral:rRNA from 1 species